AGCUAGUUGGUGGGGUAAAGGCUUACCAAGGCAAUGAUGCGUAGCCGAACUGAGAGGUUGAUCGGCCACAUUGGGACUGAGACACGGCCCAAACUCCUACGGGAGGCAGCAGUAGGGAAUCUUCCACAAUGGGCGAAAGCCUGAUGGAGCAACGCCGCGUGGGUGAAGAAGGUCUUCGGAUCGUAAAACCCUGUUGUUAGAGAAGAAAGUGCGUGAGAGUAACUGUUCACGUUUCGACGGUAUCUAACCAGAAAGCCACGGCUAACUACGUGCCAGCAGCCGCGGUAAUACGUAGGUGGCAAGCGUUAUCCGGAUUUAUUGGGCGUAAAGGGAACGCAGGCGGUCUUUUAAGUCUGAUGUGAAAGCCUUCGGCUUAACCGGAGUAGUGCAUUGGAAACUGGGAGACUUGAGUGCAGAAGAGGAGAGUGGAACUCCAUGUGUAGCGGUGAAAUGCGUAGAUAUAUGGAAGAACACCAGUGGCGAAAGCGGCUCUCUGGUCUGUAACUGACGCUGAGGUUCGAAAGCGUGGGUAGCAAACAGGAUUAGAUACCCUGGUAGUCCACGCCGUAAACGAUGAAUGCUAAGUGUUGGAGGGUUUCCGCCCUU
rnacentral:rRNA from 1 species